UGAUGAAGCUUCGGCAGAUUCUUGUUAAAUCUUAGUGGCGGACGGGUGAGUAACGCGUGGGCAACCUGCCUCAUACUGGGGGAUAACAGCUGGAAACGACUGUUAAUACCGCAUAAGCGCACAGCAUCGCAUGAUGCAGUGUGAAAAACUCCGGUGGUAUGAGAUGGGCCCGCGUCAGAUUAGCCAGUUGGCAGGGUAACGGCCUACCAAAGCGACGAUCUGUAGCCGGCCUGAGAGGGCGGACGGCCACAUUGGGACGAGACACGGCCCAAACUCCUACGGGAGGCAGCAGUGGGGGAUAUUGCACAAUGGAGGAAACUCUGAUGCAGCGACGCCGCGUGAGUGAAGAAGUAUUUCGGUAUGUAAAGCUCUAUCAGCAGGGAAGAAAGACUCGUAAGAGAGAUGACGGUACCUGACUAAGAAGCCCCGGCUAAUUACGUGCCAGCAGCCGCGGUAAUACGUAGGGGGCAAGCGUUAUCCGGAUUUACUGGGUGUAAAGGGAGCGCAGACGGCUUAGCAAGUCUGAAGUGAAACCCCACGGCUCAACCGUGGGCUUGCUUUGGAAACUGUUAAUCUAGAGUACUGGAGAGGUAAGCGGAAUUCCUAGUGUAGCGGUGAAAUGCGUAGAUAUUAGGAGGAACAUCGGUGGCGAAGGCGGCUUAC
rnacentral:rRNA from 1 species